rnacentral:tRNA from 5 species
GCCCCCGUAGCUCAGUGGAUAGAGCAUUGGAUUCCUAAUCCAUGUGCCGCAGGUCCGAUUCCUGCCGGGGGCACCA